GGUCCUUGCUUAACGGCUGCAUGGGAGGAAGUGACGUCCGCGAAUCACUUCCUCCCACCUCAAAGACAUCGGGCCGCCCGGGCGGCUGCUGAGCCAGGAUCCAGUGAGGAGGGGGAGCAAGGAGAGCCAGACCCCCAACUCCCAACUACCCCAGCCAGCACACUGGACCCCAGGGAAGGAAGCCUCUUUCAAAGGUAGGAAACUGAAGAGUGUCUGUCUGUCUGUGUGUCAGUUUGUAUGUCUGUCUGUGUGUCAGUUUGUAUGUCUGUCUGUGUGUCAGUUUGUAUGUCUGUGUGUCAGUUUGU